AUGCAGCUUGUCUCAUGUGGCCGGACCGCGGUGAACAUCAAUGGAGAGAUUGGACCCUACUUCCCCACCCUCUGUGGGGUCCGUCAGGGUGACCCUUUCUCGCCGUUCUUGUUCAACAUGCUGGUCGAUGCCCGGGCAUCCAUCCUGGAUAAGGCCAAGGCCGCUGGCCAUAUCCGCGGCAUAGUCCCCCACCUAGUUGGAGGGGGAGGGGUCUCCCUCCUCCAAUAUGCGGAUGAUACCAUUAUAAUGGUGGAGGGAUCCGCUCUAGAUAUUACUAACCUGAAGUUCCUCCUCCUGUGCUUGCAACAAAUGUCAGGUCUAACCAUCAACUUCGAUAAAAGCGAAGUGAUGGUUCUCGGAUACCCGUUGGCGGAAGCACAGGCUAUUGCUGACCGACUAAACUGUCGGCUGGGUUCUUUCCCCACGACCUAUCUGGGGAUCCCCAUUAGUGAUUCGCGCCUCACCGUAGCCGAUCUUCGUCCCACGGUGACCCGUAUGCAACAUCGCGUUGAGCCCUGGAAAGGACGCUAG
rnacentral:rRNA from 1 species